UGGGGAAUAUUGCACAAAGGGGGAAACCCUGAUGCAGCGACGCCGCGUGAGCGAAGAAGGCUUUCGAGUCGUAAAGCUCUGUCCUAUGAGAAGAUAAUGACGGUAUCAUAGGAGGAAGCCCUGGCUAAAUACGUGCCAGCAGCCGCGGUAAUACGUAUGGGGCGAGCGUUGUCCGGAAUUAUUGGGCGUAAAGGGUACGUAGGCGGUUUUUUAAGUCAGGUGUCAAAGCGUGGAGCUUAACUCCAUUAAGCACUUGAAACUGAAAGACUUGAGUGAAGGAGAGGAAAGUGGAAUUCCUAGUGUAGCGGUGAAAUGCGUAGAUAUUAGGAGGAAUACCGGUGGCGAAGGCGACUUUCUGGACUUUUACUGACGCUCAGGUACGAAAGCGUGGGGAGCAAACAGG
rnacentral:rRNA from 1 species